AGUAGCUCAAUGGUAGAGCAGCCUGCAAAGGAAGAUGGGGGUUCGAAUCCUCCCUUUG
rnacentral:tRNA from 1 species